UAUGUUUUAACUUUUUAUCUCCAGUCAAAAUACGAUGAACUUAAAAAAUCAGAAAAGGGAAGUAAACAGCAACAUAAAGUCCAUAAAUACAUUACAUCAUGUGAAAUGGUGAUGGCACCUGUCCAUGAAGCAGUGGUCUCCUUGCAUGUUGCCAAAGUCUGGGAUGAUAUCAGCCCUCAGUUCUAUGCUACGUUUUGGUCAUUGACAAUGUAUGACCUUGCAGUUCCACAUACCAGCUAUGAAAGAGAAGUCAAUAAACUUAAAGUCCAGAUGAAAGCGAUUGAUGACAAUCAGGAAAUGCCUCCGAAUAAAAAGAAGAAAGAAAAGGAGCGUUGCACGGCCCUUCAGGACAAGCUCCUUGAAGAAGAAAAGAAGCAGAUGGAACAUGUUCAGAGAGUACUUCAGAGACUGAAACUAGAGAAAGACAACUGGCUUUUAGCAAAGUCUACCAAAAAUGAGACCAUCACAAAAUUUUUACAGCUGUGUAUAUUUCCUCGAUGCAUUUUUUCAGCAAUUGAUGCUGUUUAUUGUGCUCGUUUUGUUGAAUUGGUACAUCAACAGAAAACUCCAAAUUUUUCCACACUUCUUUGCUAUGAUCGAGUAAGUUUUUUUGACAUAAUUUACCACGGUUUGCAAGCUGCACUGAAAAACGGUUAGCUAGUCUAGUAUGGGAGAUUCCUUUGCUGUAUGUUAGAGACAGUGACCAGGUGGCACAGUGAUAGAGCCACUUAUGAGAAGGAAUGUGGAAACUAUCCAGGAUUCCUUACCAUAUUACGGGCAACUGGAUUUGAUGGUGGAAACAAAGCUGAUCAGUUAGAUUAUGAAAAUUUUCGACAUGUUGUCCACAAAUGGCAUUACAAAUUAACCAAGGCCUCGGUUCAUUGCCUUGAGACAGGCGAAUAUACUCACAUCAGGAAUAUAUUGAUUGUGCUAACAAAAAUACUUCCUUGGUACCCAAAAGUUUUGAAUCUGGGUCAGGCUUUGGAAAGAAGAGUGAAUAAAAUAUGCCAAGAAGAAAAAGAGAAGAGGCCAGAUCUUUAUGCAUUGGCUAUGGGCUACUCGGGGCAGUUGAAAAGUAGAAAGUCACACAUGAUACCUGAAAAUGAAUUUCAUCACAAGGAUCCUCCUCCAAGGAAUGCUGUUGCCAGUGUACAAAAUGGGCCUGGUGGUGGGACUUCUUCAUCAUCCAUAGGAAGUGCGUCUAAAUCAGAUGAAAGCGGUGCUGAGGAGACUGAUAAAUCAAGGGAGAGAUCUCAGUGUGGUACAAAAGCUGUUAAUAAGGCUUCUAGUACCACACCAAAAGGGAAUUCAAGCAAUGGAAGUAGUGGCUCUAACAGCAACAAAACUGUUAAGGAAAAUGACAAAGAAAAAGUAAAAGAGAAAGAAAAAGAGAAAAAAGAGAAGACUCCAGCUACAACUCCAGAGGCCAGGGUACUUGGUAAAGAAAGUAAAGAAAAACCGAAGGAAGAGCGGCCAAAUAAAGAUGAGAAAGCAAGAGAGACAAAGGAAAGAACACCUAAAUCUGACAAAGAGAAGGAGAAGUUCAAGAAGGAAGAAAAAGCAAAAGAUGAGAAAUUCAAGACCACUGUCCCCAGCGUAGAAUCAAAAUCGGCUCAAGAAAGGGAAAGAGAGAAGGAGCCAUCCAGAGAAAGAGAUGUAGCAAAGGAAAUGAAGUCAAAGGAAAAUGUUAAAGGAGGAGAAAAACCACCAGUUUCAGGGUCCUUGAAGUCACCUGUUCCCCGAUCAGAUAUCUCGGAGCCUGACAGGGAACAAAAACGCCGCAAAAUUGAUACUCAUCCUUCUCCAUCACAUUCCUCCACUGUAAAGGACAGUCUCAUCGAUCUCAAGGACUCUUCAGCAAAGCUCUACAUUAACCAUAAUCCUCCACCACUGUCCAAGAGUAAGGAGAGAGAAAUGGACAAGAAAGAUUUGGACAAGUCAAGGGAAAGAUCCAGAGAAAGAGAGAAAAAAGAUGAAAAGGACAGGAAAGAGCGGAAAAGGGAUCAUUCAAACAAUGACCGUGAAGUGCCACCGGACAUAACAAAGAGGCGGAAAGAGGAGAAUGGAACAAUGGGGGUUUCAAAACACAAAAGUGAAAGUCCAUGUGAGUCUCAAUAUCCAAAAAAAAAGACAAAGAGAAAAAAUAAGCCAAAAUCAGGCAAAGAAAAGGCAGGGUGA